UCCACGCCGUAAACGUUGGGAACUAGAUGUAGGGACCAUUCCACGGUUUCUGUGUCGCAGCUAACGCAUUAAGUUCCCCGCCUGGGGAGUACGGUCGCAAGACUAAAACUCAAAGGAAUUGACGGGGGCCCGCACAAGCGGCGGAGCAUGCGGAUUAAUUCGAUGCAACGCGAAGAACCUUACCAAGGCUUGACAUAUACGAGAACGGGCUAGAAAUAGU
rnacentral:rRNA from 1 species